rnacentral:rRNA from 1 species
CGAACGGUGAUGCAGGUAGCUUGCUUCUGCGGAUCAGUGGCGAACGGGUGAGUAACACGUGAGCAAUCUGCCCUUGACUCUGGGAUAAGCGUUGGAAACGACGUCUAAUACCGGAUACGACCCUCGGAGGCAUCUCCUGGGGGUGGAAAGAAUUUUGGUCAAGGAUGAGCUCGCGGCCUAUCAGCUUGUUGGUGAGGUAAUGGCUCACCAAGGCGACGACGGGUAGCCGGCCUGAGAGGGUGACCGGCCACACUGGGACUGAGACACGGCCCAGACUCCUACGGGAGGCAGCAGUGGGGAAUAUUGCACAAUGGGCGCAAGCCUGAUGCAGCAACGCCGCGUGAGGGACGACGGCCUUCGGGUUGUAAACCUCUUUUAGUAGGGAAGAAGCGAAAGUGACGGUACCUGCAGAAAAAGCACCGGCUAACUACGUGCCAGCAGCCGCGGUAAUACGUAGGGUGCAAGCGUUGUCCGGAAUUAUUGGGCGUAAAGAGCUCGUAGGCGGUUUGUCGCGUCUGCUGUGAARACCCGAGGCUCAACCUCGGGCCUGCAGUGGGUACGGGCAGACUAGAGUGCGGUAGGGGAGAUUGKAAUUCCUGGUGUAGCGGUGGAAUGCGCAGAUAUCAGGAGGAACACCGAUGGCGAAGGCAGAUCUCUGGGCCGUAACUGACGCUGAGGAGCGAAAGCAUGGGGAGCGAACAGGAUUAGAUACCCUGGUAGUCCAUGCCGUAAACGUUGGGAACUAGAUGUGGGGACCAUUCCACGGUCUCCGUGUCGCAGCUAACGCAUUAAGUUCCCCGCCUGGGGAGUACGGCCGCAAGGCUAAAACUCAAAGGAAUUGACGGGGGCCCGCACAAGCGGCGGAGCAUGCGGAUUAAUUCGAUGCAACGCGAAGAACCUUACCAAGGCUUGACAUAUACCGGAAACGUCUGGAAACAGUCGCCCCGCAAGGUCGGUAUACAGGUGGUGCAUGGUUGUCGUCAGCUCGUGUCGUGAGAUGUUGGGUUAAGUCCCGCAACGAGCGCAACCCUCGUCCUAUGUUGCCAGCACGUAAUGGUGGGAACUCAUGGGAUACUGCCGGGGUCAACUCGGAGGAAGGUGGGGAUGACGUCAAAUCAUCAUGCCCCUUAUGUCUUGGGCUUCACGCAUGCUACAAUGGCCGGUACAAAGGGCUGCAAUACCGUAAGGUGGAGCGAAUCCCAAAAAGCCGGUCUCAGUUCGGAUUGAGGUCUGCAACUCGACCUCAUGAAGUCGGAGUCGCUAGUAAUCGCAGAUCAGCAACGCUGCGGUGAAUACGUUCCCGGGCCUUGUACACACCGCCCGUCAAGUCAUGAAAGUCGGUAACACCCGAAGCCAGUGGCCCAACCCGAAAGAGGGAGAUGU